AAGCUAGUUUUUCAUCCAUUUGCCAUUGUCUCCGCUGCUCAAGAUAGUUUUGUUUCUAAAUCCUCCUAUGUUGCUGGAAACACAGGGGAAGAAAGGGUAAACAAAUUAAAUGGAUGGAGUCUUUCUCUGUCACCCAAGUUGGAGAGCAGUGGCGUGAUCUCGGCUCACAGCAACCUCCGCCUCCUGGGUUCAAGCAAAUGUCCUGGCUCAGGCUCCCAAGUAGCUGGGACUACAGGUGGAGUCUCACACUUUCACCCAGGCUGGAGGGCAAAGGUGCUAUCUCGGCUCACCACAACUUCCACUUCCCAUGUUCAAGCGAUUGUCCUGCCUCAGCCUGCCCAGUAUGUGGGACUACAGGAGCUUGCAACCACACGCAGCUAAUUUUCAUAUUUUCAGUAGAAAUGGGGUUUCACCAUGUUGGUCAGACUGGUUUCAAACUCCUGACUUCAGGUGAUUCACCUAUGUAGGCCUCUCAAAGUGCUGGGAUUAAAGGUGUUAGCCACCACACUCGGCCUGUCACUGGUAUUUUGAUGGAGAUUGCACUCAAUCAGUAGAUGCAGAGGUGUACUUUGAGUUGUAUGGCCAUUUUAACAAUAUUAUUCUUUGAUCCAUGAACAUAAGAUAUUUGUGCCUUCUUUAGUUUCUCUCUUCAAUGUUUUAUGGUUUUCAUUGCCAAGAUUUUUCACCUCCUUUGUUAAAUUUGUUACUAGGCAUUCUGUUUUUUUUUUUUUUUUUUUUUUUUUUUUUUUUGGAGCUAUGGUAAGUAAGUGAAAUUGCUUUCCUGCUUUCUUUUUCAGACAAUUCACCAUUGGUGUAUAGAAAUGUCACUGAUUUCUGUAUGUUGAUUUUGUAUCUUGAAAUUUACUGAACUUGUUUAUUGUCUGUAAUGGUUUUUUUGGUGAAGUCAUUGGGGUUUUCUCCAUAAAAUAUCAUGUCAUCUGUAACAGAGACAAUGUGCUUCAAUUAAUUUUAAAAUUUUAAUGUGACAUUAAAUUUUGGCACUAUUUUGUGUAAAAAUGGCAUGUAUAAAUUGAACCAAUGACUUUUUUUACUUCUGGUCUCAGACUUCACCUCUUAAUAGUCACUUUCUUUGGGUAUUAAGAAGAAACAAAUUUGAUAGUUAGUUUCUAAUAUCCCAAUAGAAACACAUAAAAAUCUGACUUUGAAAUAGUUUAAAAGCAGAGUUUUGAACCAAAGCUCAUGUGAUGAGAAGAUGAUGCAAGAAUGAUAAUGGCAAUGAUGCUUAAAGCCCCUGUGUGCCAGUG